UCCAUUCCUUUCUGCUGCAUCUUCUAGUUAUUCAGGGGUUUUCCUAAUACUGAGCAUAGCCUACAAUAGCUCAUAAGGGCUUCUGGAACAACAACAAAGAAGACAGGUCUCCAUUUAUCAACCUCAAGACCUUUUUUUUUCUUUUUCUUUUUUUUUUUUUUUUUUUUCUUUUGAAAAAUGGUCAAUAAAACCUCUUUGGCAGAACCUCCCAAAACCUAGGGAAUUCUUUUCCACACCCAGCGUUCUGGCUCUCACCCCAUGCCAGCAUCUAACCUCCACCACUGCGAUCCUUUUGUACCGUGACUGUUUGACAGACAUCUGGCAUAUGACUGACUGACCUUCCUUACAGAUUUGUCCCUCAAGUAGAUUUCUCAGUAACGGUGGAUUUUGGAGUCAAAAGAGAGUUGGACCUUGUUCUUUGGUAAAUUUAAGAUAGAAGGGCUGUCUGCCAUAGAGGUAGAGAUCUUCAAGGCCUUUACUCAUGCCCUGUGUAUCCUUUGGACACCAUACUAUCAUGCGCAGUGGCCCCAAGCCACCGAGAACCAGUCUGAGAAGCUCCAGAUUCGCUCAGGCCCUUGAUCAUCAGUCGUCGUCGUCUUCGAUUUGCCAGAGGAGUUUAGAUGAAGAAUGUCAAGGAUGUUCCUCCCUGCCCUCCCAUCUAGCCAAGAACAUUUCCAAGAAGAUAAAACUGUCACUGAGACAGGUCUGGAUGCGCCCUAGGGGCAAAUAGAGAAGGCCUUUACCACAUUGCUGCUGGCUAUAGGAAGUCCCAGGUACUAGCCUGAAACAGCUGAUAUUUGGGGCUGUCACAGACAAUAUGGCCACCCCUUGGUCUUUAUGCAUGAAGAUUAUGUAAAGGUUUUUAUUAAAAAAUAUAUAUAUAUAUAUAAAUGAUCUAGAUUAUUUUCCUCUUUCUGAAGUACUUUCUUAAAAAAAUAAAAUUAAAUGUUUAUAG
rnacentral:lncRNA from 1 species